UACGGAGGGUGCAAGCGUUAUCCGGAUUCACUGGGUUUAAAGGGUGCGUAGGUGGGUUGGUAAGUCAGUGGUGAAAUCUCCGAGCUUAACCUGGAAACUGCCAUUGAUACUAUCAGUCUUGAAUAUUGUGGAGGUCAGCGGAAUAUGUCAUGUAGCGGUGAAAUGCUUAGAUAUGACAUAGAACACCAAUUGCGAAGGCAGCUGGCUACACAUAUAUUGACUCUGAGGCACGAAAGCGUGGGGAUCAAACAGG
rnacentral:rRNA from 1 species